rnacentral:rRNA from 1 species
GUGGGGGAGCGAACAAGGAUUUAGAUACCCUGGUAGUUCCACGCCGUUAACGAGAGUGUUAAGUGUUAGGGGGUUUCCGCCCCUUAGUGUGCAGCUAACGCAUUAAGCACUCCGCCUGGGGAGUACGGUCGCAAGACUGAAACUCAAAGGAAUUGACGGGGGCCCGCACAAGCGGUGGAGCAUGUGGUUUAAUUGGAAGCAACGCGAAGAACCUUAUCAGGUCUUGACAUCAUUAGACAAUCCUAGAGAUAGGACGUCCCCUUCGGGGGCAGAGUGACAGGUGGUGCAUGGUUGUCGUCAGCUCGUGUCGUGAGAUGUUGGGUUAAGUCCCGCAACGAGCGCAACCCUUGAUCUUAGUUGCCAGCAUUCAGUUGGGCACUCUAAGGUGACUGCCGGUGACAAACCGGAGGAAGGUGGGGAUGACGUCAAAUCAUCAUGCCCCUUAUGACCUGGGCUACACACGUGCUACAAUGGACAGAACAAAGGGCAGCGAAACCGCGAGGUUAAGCCAAUCCCACAAAUCUGUUCUCAGUUCGGAUCGCAGUCUGCAACUCGACUGCGUGAAGCUGGAAUCGCUAGUAAUCGCGGAUCAGCAUGCCGCGGUGAAUACGUUCCCGGGCCUUGUACACACCGCCCGUGGACACCACGAGAGUUUGUAACACCCGAAGUCGGUGAGGUAACCUUUUAGGAGCCAGCGCCCCCGAAAAGGUGAC